GAUGAACGCUGGCGGCGUGCCUAAUACAUGCAAGUCGAGCGAACAGACGGGGAGCUUGCUCCUCUGACGUUAGCGGCGGACGGGUGAGUAACACGUGGAUAACCUACCUAUAAGACUGGGAUAACUUCGGGAAACCGGAGCUAAUACCGGAUAACAUGUUGAACCGCAUGGUUCAACAGUGAAAGACGGUCUUGCUGUCACUUAUAGAUGGAUCCGCGCCGCAUUAGCUAGUUGGUAAGGUAACGGCUUACCAAGGCAACGAUGCGUAGCCGACCUGAGAGGGUGAUCGGCCACACUGGAACUGAGACACGGUCCAGACUCCUACGGGAGGCAGCAGUAGGGAAUCUUCCGCAAUGGGCGAAAGCCUGACGGAGCAACGCCGCGUGAGUGAAGAAGGUCUUCGGAUCGUAAAACUCUGUUAUUAGGGAAGAACAAAUGUGUAAGUAACUAUGCACGUCUUGACGGUACCUAAUCAGAAAGCCACGGCUAACUACGUG
rnacentral:rRNA from 1 species